ensembl:lncRNA
GCUGGGCUCAGAACAGCCAGGAGCAAUCAGCUUGGCAGAAUCAAAGUCAUCCGGCAAGGCCACACUGGACCCCCGGCAGGCCGGACCGGCCUGCAUGUCACGUUGGCUCUGCUUCAUCUCCAUCCAUCCAUCCAUUGUCAAACCGCUUAUCCUGCACACAGGGGAGCCAACUUCAGGCGAUAGACAGGGUACACCCUGGAAUGGUCGCCAGCCAAUCGCAGGGCUACACAGAGACACACAACCAUUCACACACCUACGGGAAAUUUAGAAUCACCAAUCAACCUGAUCCCCAGAGCAUGUCUUUGGACUGUGGGAGGAAGCUGGAGAACCCGGAGAGAACCCACGCAGACACAGGGAGAACAUGCAGACUCCAC